GUGAAGGAUAUAUCUUUGGCCAAAUGGAUAGGUCAGGCCAUGAACUAAAAUUAACAGGCCACUAAGUUCUGGAUGACCGGACUUUGGAUCCCCCAAACUCAGUGGCUAAAUCGGAUCAUAACUACCAAAAGCCAUAGAAAUUCUUGGCAAUCCUAAGUCGUUGAACAAGUAGUCACAUUUGUUUUCUACAACAUGGGUCCUGUUUGAUGCCAUCACAGUACAUACCU
rnacentral:lncRNA from 1 species